UACAGAGACUGCAAGCGUUAUUCGGAUUCACUGGGCGUAAAGGGUGCGCAGGCGGCCGAGUGUGUGAGGCGUGAAAGCCCGGAGCUUAACUCCGGAAUUGCACCUCAAACUACACGGCUAGAGCAUUGGAGAGGGUAGCAGAAUUCACGGUGUAGCAGUGAAAUGCGUAGAUAUCGUGAGGAAUACCAGAGGCGAAGGCGGCUACCUGGACAAUUGCUGACGCUCAGGCACGAAAGCGUGGGGAGCAAAAGGG
rnacentral:rRNA from 1 species